rnacentral:rRNA from 1 species
UGAGGAAUAUUGCACAAUGGGCGCAAGCCUGAUGCCGCAACGCCGCGUGCGGGACGAAGGCCUUCGGGUCGUAAACCGCUUUUCUGGGGGAAGAGCAAGGACGGUACCUCAGGAAUAAGUCUCGGCUAACUACGUGCCAGCAGCCGCGGUAAAACGUAGGAGGCGAGCGUUAUCCGGAUUUACUGGGCGUAAAGCGCACGCAGGCGGCUCUGUUAGUCGGACGUGAAAGCUCUCGGCUUAACCGGGAGAGGCCGUUCGAUACUGCGGGGCUUGAGGUAGGGAGAGGAAUGCGGAAUUCCCGGUGUAGUGGUGGAAUGCAUAGAUAUCGGGAGGAACACCUGUGGCGAAAGCGGCAUUCUGGCCCUCACCUGACGCUGAGGUGCGAAAGCGUGGGUAGCAAACA